rnacentral:tRNA from 1 species
GCAGUGGUGGUUCACUGGUAGAAUUCUCGCCUUCCACGUGGGAGACCCAGGUUUGAUUCUCAGCCAGUGCA